rnacentral:rRNA from 1 species
UCCUGGCUCAGGACGAACGCUGGCGGCGUGCCUAAUACAUGCAAGUCGAGCGAAGUUUUUCUGGUGCUUGCACCGGAAAAACUUAGCGGCGAACGGGUGAGUAACACGUAAAGAACCUGCCUCAUAGACUGGGACAACUAUUGGAAACGAUAGCUAAUACCGGAUAACAGCAUUAACUGCAUGGUUGAUGUUUAAAAGUUGGUUUUGCUAACACUAUGAGAUGGCUUUGCGGUGCAUUAGCUAGUUGGUGGGGUAAAGGCCUACCAAGGCGACGAUGCAUAGCCGACCUGAGAGGGUGAUCGGCCACACUGGGACUGAGACACGGCCCAGACUCCUACGGGAGGCAGCAGUAGGGAAUCUUCCGCAAUGGGCGAAAGCCUGACGGAGCAACGCCGCGUGAGUGAAGAAGGAUUUCGGUUCGUAAAGCUCUGUUGUUAGGGAAGAAUGAUUGUGUAGUAACUAUACACAGUAGAGACGGUACCUAACCAGAAAGCCACGGCUAACUACGUG